rnacentral:rRNA from 1 species
GAGUUUGAUCAUGGCUCAGAUUGAACGCUGGCGGCAGGCCUAACACAUGCAAGUCGAGCGGUAGCACAAGAGAGCUUGCUCUCUGGGUGACGAGCGGCGGACGGGUGAGUAAUGUCUGGGAAACUGCCUGAUGGCGGGGGAUAACUAGUGGAAACGGUAGCUAAUACCGCAUAACGUCGCAAGACCAAAGUGGGGGACCUUCGGGCCUCACGCCAUCAGAUGUGCCCAGGUGGGAUUAGCUGGUAGGUGGGGUAACGGCUCACCUAGGCGACGAUCCCUAGCUGGUCUGAGAGGAUGACCAGCCACACUGGAACUGAGACACGGUCCAGACUCCUACGGGAGGCAGCAGUGGGGAAUAUUGCACAAUGGGCGCAAGCCUGAUGCA